UUAAAAGGAGCCACUUAUAUUUGGGAGUUGGGAGAAAGGAGGGUGUCCCAGCAAGGCCAGAAACAGUGGUUUCUGGGGCUGAAGCAGUGAGGUGGCAUGCAGAGAGCAUGUACUAAUGGUCAAGUAGCAACCCCCCCCCCCUUCAACUGGCCCCCUGGGGGCUGGGAGACAGGACAGUGAGAAGACUAGAAUGCUGCCUCUUAAAGCAGCUAAGACCCCCCACAGAGAGACAGAGAGGCUGCAUUCUUUGUGGCAAUAGCUGAAAAUAUAGUAUGAGACUGGGCCCUGAGAACAGGUAGCCUGCCAGUGGCAAAGAGAGAAGCCAGCAUCUCCCAAACAUAAGACCAAGAUGAUGAACAGGGCCUUUGCACACCCGGGGCCUGUUACACCUGCCUGUCUGGGAUGCUGGCUCUCAGCCCUGCCUUUGGGAAAGAGCUCAGCUUUAUAAUACUGGUUGCCCUCUUGCCCAAAUAAUGAAGAAAUCCAAGUAAAAAGGUGUGUCUAUGUUUUUCCUUCCGAAGUUGGUUGAUCUGGGUUACGGUUGUAGUUUACACUGUGCCUCUAAAUGUUAUGUUGAAGAAAAAGCAGUGUUUCACACCACAAAUUCAGCAGCUGAGAUGUUGCUCUUGCUGUUGUUCUUGACCAGAUGAGGUUAGGUUAAACUCUUGUCAGCCGAACCUUGAUUUGUUAACACUACCCAUGUCCCAGGUAGCAAGCCCAGAUGGCUUUCAAAAUAGACCAGGCACGCAUAGCUGACAAGAUCCCAGUGGGCAGAAGGUAAUGUUACACCACCUGUGAUAUAACUUCUAGAAUGGUUGCUGCUGCCCCUUUGCUCCAGAAUGUAGCUCCAGUGCACUGAAAAGUGGAAAGUCCUCAAACAAUUUGUGGGAGUAGUGUGUGUGUACUUUCCCUAGAGCUGGUUAAACUUUCACCGAGCUUUGGAGGCUUCUAAUAAGCAAUUACAGCCUUUUCUUUUCCUUUUUUGCUUCAGAGGGACAGCUCGCCAAACAAACUUCCUGGUGGCCGUUCAGAAGGACAAAAUUCUUUGCCGAAGCAUGUGCCAGAGUUUGACAAUGCGCGGCAGCCAUUGGAAGCUUUUGGCACACACUGGGCCACAAGUGGGUUCCAGGGCUCUUAGGGACAGAGUGCUGCUAAUUUGUGUGGCAACUGCUUCAGAAUGGUGAGCGGAGACGACACCUGUUUAAGGAGCAGGAAGUCAGGACAGGGGAUAGAUUGAUUCUCCAGGCUGAGAAACGCUGGUAAAGGAAGGGGAAAGCCCCAUCUUGGAAGAAAUUUCAAUUAUCUGCUGACCUGUGUGCCUGAUGGCAGGUAUCUUGCUCCUCCCCAGGAUGACCUGACUCUCCUUUGCCUUCUCUCCUGGAGAGCUGCCUCUUGAAGGGAAUGUGCUCUACUAUUUAGAGAGGAAACCAGGAAGUGAGGAGUCACAGCCCAGGCUUCCUGGUCAGGCUGCUGACUCACACAGCCCUCCUUCAGGCAAUUUCCUUCAUUUCUCUGUACCUCAGUUUCUCAGUUCAAUGAAAGAUGAAAAUGGAAUUCCCCUGGAGGCAUUGGGAACAGCCUAAUUAAUGUUUAUGUUUCUUUGAGAUAACUGGGAUUAAGAGGUCCUAUUACUGUGGAGCAUCAUUACACGGAAGAUUACAUCUUAAUUGUCAACUCUAGGCCUACACUGGAUAACUAGCAUUCAGGAUUGGGCCAUCUUCCCACUAGGCCUACACUGGAUAACUAGCAUUCUGAGUCGUUGGGCCAUCUUCCCACUAGCCACUUCGUGAUGUCCCUCUCCCUCCAUGCUUUCCACGUUGAUCUUGGGGUGUGCCAUUUGCUUGUCUUCUGUUAGUAAAGGGAAGGAGACUUUCAUUUCUCCUUGCUCAUUCCAGAGGCUAGUAGCCCCUAAGUGUUUGCCAAUAAGGGCUGACUGAGAGAGAGAGAGAGAGAGAGAUGCUGCUAAACGCAGCCCCUUCAAACACAACCCUCCAUGUUCUUUUAAGGAAUUUCGGCUGUCCCUUUGUACUUACUUGAUUUUCUUUUCUCCUUUCAAAGUGUUGACUUCAUUGUUUGGCCAGGGUGAAUACAUCACUUCCUCUUUGGGGGUCUGGGUUUUGUCUCCUGCUGGGUCUGAAAUGUCAUGUAAUUUGUUGGGUUUUGCUAGAUUAUGUUGGGGGUUUGUUUGUUUUUUGGUGUUCCCAAAUUGGCACUGUUUCACCAGAACUCUUGCCACUUCUACUCCCUGAUUAAUGAUGUGAUAGAAAUUUGCAGCCCCUUGGCAUUUACCACAAGAUAUGCAUUUGUCUGUAACUGCUCUCUGGGUUCUGUUGCCUACAAAGGGAGUUCCCCCUGCAAGGGUAAAAAACCAACAAAACCCCGCUGUUAUCUUUUCUUCCUGCUGUGCGGUCAGGUUGCUCUGUUGCUUUGCUCAUUAUCUGAACUUUGUUGAAGAGUGGAUCGCUCUGCGUUUCAUCCACAAUAUGGUGCAAGCCCCAGAUCUUUUCCUCUUCAGACUUACCAGCCUUUCCAUGACUCCUCGUACAUGACUUUUUCCAUUCCUGGAAGCAGUGUUUCUCUACUCCGGUUAAUUUGGUGCGAACUUACUUUGUUCAUGUGGACUUUACAUAUCAGAUACUGGAUACACAUCGCAAUAGCAGGACCCUGUAAAUACUGUCUUCUGGAUUUUCACCACAGCAUGAUGGAUUCCCAGCUUCAUAAACUGUAUAACUCAUGUGUAUAAACUUUCCUAAUUACUAAUACCUGGCUCUGUUUUAAUUCUGCUUCCAUAUGUUCUUGACUUCUCUGCAGAUAAAACAGUAAGUUUCAUGUCUCAUUGCUCAAUUAGUUGCUGUUAUUAGCUUAAUAAGUGAAAGGCUUUCUGGUGUCAUUGACCUGAUUUUUAGGAUUGCAAAAGGCUGUAUACAUCAUUUGUAUUUAUUGCCAAAUAAACCUUUGUAAGUGUA